rnacentral:rRNA from 1 species
UGAGGAAUAUUGGUCAAUGGACGAGAGUCUGAACCAGCCAAGUAGCGUGCAGGAUGACGGCCCUAUGGGUUGUAAACUGCUUUUAUAUGGGAAUAAAGUGAGGGACGUGUCCCUUAUUGCAUGUACCAUACGAAUAAGGACCGGCUAAUUCCGUGCCAGCAGCCGCGGUAAUACGGAAGGUCCAGGCGUUAUCCGGAUUUAUUGGGUUUAAAGGGAGCGUAGGCUGUUUGUUAAGCGUGUUGUGAAAUGUAAGAGCUCAACUUUUAGAUUGCAGCGCGAACUGGCAGACUUGAGUGCGCACAACGUAGGCGGAAUUCAUGGUGUAGCGGUGAAAUGCUUAGAUAUCAUGACGAACUCCGAUUGCGAAGGCAGCUUACGGGAGCGCAACUGACGCUAAAGCUCGAAGGUGCGGGUAUCGAACAGG